GGGGAAUAUUGCACAAUGGGCGAAAGCCUGAUGCAGCAACGCCGCGUGAGUGAUGAAGGUCUUCGGAUUGUAAAGCUCUGUCUUUUGGGACGAUAAUGACGGUACCAAAGGAGGAAGCCACGGCUAACUACGUGCCAGCAGCCGCGGUAAUACGUAGGUGGCGAGCGUUGUCCGGAUUUACUGGGCGUAAAGGGUGCGUAGGCGGAUGUUUAAGUGAGAUGUGAAAUACCCGGGCUUAACUUGGGUGCUGCAUUUCAAACUGGAUAUCUAGAGUGCAGGAGAGGAGAAUGGAAUUCCUAGUGUAGCGGUGAAAUGCGUAGAGAUUAGGAAGAACACCAGUGGCGAAGGCGAUUCUCUGGACUGUAACUGACGCUGAGGCACGAAAGCGUGGGUAGCAAACAGGAUUAGAUACCCUGGUAGUCCACGCCGUAAACGAUGAGUACUAGGUGUAGGAGGUAUCGACCCCUUCUGUGCCGCAGUAAACACAUUAAGUACUCCGCCUGGGAAGUACGAUCGCAAGAUUAAAAAC
rnacentral:rRNA from 1 species